UACGUAGGUGGCAAGCGUUGUCCGGAAUUAUUGGGCGUAAAGCGCGCGCAGGUGGUUUCUUAAGUCUGAUGUGAAAGCCCACGGCUCAACCGUGGAGGGUCAUUGGAAGCUGGGGAACUUGAGUGCAGAAGUGGAAAGUGGAAUUCCAAGUGUAGCGGUGAAAUGCGUAGAGAUUUGGAGGAACACCAGUGGCGAAGGCGACUUUCUGGUCUGUAACUGACACUGAGGCGCGAAAGCGUGGGGAGCGAACAGG
rnacentral:rRNA from 1 species